rnacentral:misc_RNA from 1 species
GUAGGUGAACCUGCGGAAGGAUCAUUAUCACGUAUCCAAACGUAUAAACCAAUGAGCACUUAUGUUCUUUCCUCCUGAUGGGCUUUUAUGAAGUUGGCGAGAGAAGUUGAUAUUCCUUUCAUGGUCUUUAGGAAUUCUCUCGUCGUGUGUUUCAGCAAUGAUUCACAGCCUUCUAAGUCCUGGAGUGUACUAAACCAUGCAACCCUGUUUAACCUUAUUAACUACUUGUACCUUUAUGAACUGACUUAGGCUUCAUAAGUGGCGAGCCAACAAUGGUUUUCGGACUAUUGGGAAACUCUACUCUUUGAACCUUUAUUUAUAUAAACUCUGAACUACUCUUAACAACGGAUAUCUUGGUUCUC